GAACUGCGAUAAGUAGUGUGAAUUGCAGAAUUCAGUGAAUCAUCGAAUCUUUGAACGCAUAUUGCGCCCCUUGGUAUUCCAUGGGGCAUGCCUGUUCGAGCGUCAUUUGUACCCUCAAGCUCUGCUUGGUGUUGGGUGUUUGUCCCGUCUCCGCGCGUGGACUCGCCCCAAAGUGAUUGGCAGCCGGCGUACUGGUCCCGGAGCGCAGCACAUGUCGCGCAAACGAGUGCCUUGGUACGGCGGCGUCCAUAAGCCCCUCUCUCACGCUCUUGACCUCGGAUCAGGUAGGGAUACCCGCUGAACUUAAGC
rnacentral:misc_RNA from 1 species